rnacentral:rRNA from 1 species
UACGUAGGGGGGCAAGCGUUGUCCGGAUUUAUUGGGCGUAAAGAGCGUGUAGGCGGCCAGACAGGUCCGUUGUGAAAACUCGAGGCUCAACCUCGAGACGUCGACGGAAACCGUCUGGCUAGAGUCCGGAAGAGGAGUGUGGAAUUCCUGGUGUAGCGGUGAAAUGCGCAGAUAUCAGGAAGAACACCUAUGGCGAAGGCAGCACUCUGGGACGGUACUGAUGCUGAGACGCGAAAGCGUGGGGAGCGAACAGG